CCGAAGUAGCUUAAACAAAGCAUUGAUUUUGUAAUUCAAAGAUAGUAUUCACUCUUCGGUA
rnacentral:tRNA from 1 species